UACGAAGGGGGCUAGCGUUGUUCGGAAUCACUGGGCGUAAAGCGCACGUAGGCGGAUCUUUAAGUCAGGGGUGAAAUCCUGGAGCUCAACUCCAGAACUGCCUUUGAUACUGGCGAUCUUGAGUCCGGGAGAGGUGAGUGGAACUGCGAGUGUAGAGGUGAAAUUCGUAGAUAUUCGCAAGAACACCAGUGGCGAAGGCGGCUCACUGGCCCGGUACUGACGCUGAGGUGCGAAAGCGUGGGGAGCAAACAGGG
rnacentral:rRNA from 1 species